rnacentral:rRNA from 1 species
AGCAGCCGCGGUAAUUCCAGCUCCAAUAGCGUAUAUUAAAGUUGUUGCAGUUAAAAAGCUCGUAGUUGAAUUUCGGGAUCGAAUUGUUGGUCGUGCUUCGGUACGCACUGGCAUUAUCGGUUUCUACCUUCUGAAGAACCGCGAUGUCAUUAAUUUGGUGUCGUGGGGAAUCAGGACUGUUACUUUGAAAAAAUUAGAGUGUUUAAAGCAGGCUUACGCUUGAAUACAUUAGCAUGGAAUAAUGAAAUAGGACGUUUGAUUCUAUUUUGUUGGUUUCUAGGAUCGACGUAAUGAUUAAUAGGGAUAGUUGGGGGCAUUAGUAUUCAAUUGUCAGAGGUGAAAUUCUUGGAUUUAUUGAAGACUAACUACUGCGAAAGCAUUUGCCAAGGAUGUUUUCAUUAAUCAAGAACGAAAGUUAGGGGAUCGAAGACGAUCAGAUACCGUCGUAGUCUUAACCAUAAACUAUGCCGACUAGGGAUCGGAUGAUGUUAAUUUUUUAAUGACCC